UAUGUUACAAACCUGCACAUGUACCUCAGAGCUUAAAAGUUGAUAUUUAAAAAAAAGAAAAUAUAGACUCCUGUAGGAAGGAGUCAGGUGCUAUCUACUUUGUGCUGUUCCUGCUACUAAAUAGCAGCUAACAUGUAUUGAGUGAGUACUGUGUGCUAGGUAUCUUAAUAAGCACUAUAUCUGAAUUGUUUCAUUUAGUCUUCACAAUAACCCUAAGGAUCUAGGUCCUGUUAUGUUGUCUCCAUUUUACAGAUAAGAAAACUUAGUUAUUCCUAAGGUCAUAUUUCUAGUAAGUGGUAGAAUCAAUAUUUAACCAAAAUUGUAACUCUAAAACUUGGAUUCUUAACCACUAGAGACCACCUCAGUACUUCCUCUUACUAGCAAUAACCAUCAUUCAUUAAGUGUUUAUGGCAUGCUACAAAGAUACUCUUCUAUGUGCUUCUUAAUACAGUAUCUCAUAGCAACCCUUGAAAUAGAAACUAUUUUAAUCUACAUUUUAUUGAUGUACAUUUUAACUUACAUCUUAGCCUUAAAACUAAGGCUCAGAGAGGUUAAGUAACUUGCUACGAGCCACACAGCUAAUAAGUCAGUAUGACUUCAAAGGUUAGUUGGUCUCCAUGUGUUAAACUUUGACCAAGAAUACUUAGUAUAAUGACAUAUGCAUAAUCAUCACUUAAAUUAUUAUUGAACUGAGUUACAUUUUUUUUUUUUUUUUACAAAUUUCCGAACUGAAGAGAACACAUACACUAUGGAAGUUACCCACCUAGAUCAGAACUAUUUUCUAUUUGGAAUUAACUCCGUUUGUACACUUGAGUUUAAUGUUUUCUCUCCUAGCAGACGUAGAAUAUCAUCAGUUUUUUGUGUGCUCACUGAUUUUGAGCUCUACUGCUUAGGCUUCUUUUU